rnacentral:rRNA from 1 species
UACGUAGGUGGCGAGCGUUGUCCGGAUUUACCGGGCGUAAAGCGAGCGCAGGUGGUUUAUUAAGUCUGGUGUAAAAGGCAGUGGCUCAACCAUUGUAUGCAUUGGAAACUGGUAGACUUGAGUGCAGGAGAGGAGAGUGGAAUUCCAUGUGUAGCGGUGAAAUGCGUAGAUAUAUGGAGGAACACCGGUGGCGAAAGCGGCUCUCUGGCCUGUAACUGACACUGAGGCUCGAAAGCGUGGGGAGCAAACAGG